UACAGAGGUCUCAAGCGUUGUUCGGAUUCAUUGGGCGUAAAGGGUGCGUAGGCGGCGCGGUAAGUCGGGUGUGAAAUCUCGGGGCUUAACUCCGAAACUGCAUUCGAUACUGCCGUGCUUGAGGACUGGAGAGGAGACUGGAAUUUACGGUGUAGCGGUGAAAAUGCGUAGAUAUCGUAAGGAAGACCAGUGGCGAAGGCGGGUCUCUGGACAGUUCCUGACGCUG
rnacentral:rRNA from 1 species